AGGAAAGGAGAAGAUAAAGAUGACUCUCAGAAGUGCUGAGAAUUCAUCAGAGUUGGCGACUUCAGGUGCUCUGCUGCUCUUAAUAUCACUGCCAAAUUUAUGGGAACCUGAACUGAAAAUGCAGAUCUGUACACCUGACAAGUAGGUGCAAACAGGACUCACCAGGUAAUCUGUAUUUACUUAUUUCUUGCUUAGUAGUUUUGGCUUCUUACGGAGCUUGUGUUCAUCCAACCACACAGAACAACUCAGGUACUCCCUAACUCAACAAGUUCAGACCACGUACUGUAAUCCUCCUGGCUUUCCAAAUCCAUAAAACACCACAUAAAUUACUGCACAAAGGUAUUGUGAGAGUAAUUACAAAAACAAAAGAUUUGUAGAACAUCUGUAAAAAAAGCCAGUUCUCAUUUGGAGUAACUGUUUUCUUGCCUAUUGAUUUGUAACCACAGCAUGAAAUCCAGAAACUUAACUAAGCAUUUGCUUUCCAGGAGGGGAGGAUACAAACUCUGGAAGCAGCAUUGUUCACUAUAUAAUUACUCGCAUUCAAAAUCACAGAUACAAGCUUGACAGUGUAGGAUGCAUGCUCCAGCACACUGACAAAUUCUUAAUAUGAGUUAAAUCUGACACAAAAAACUAACGUCUUGUGUUGGAGCCACAUUGCUCAGGCCAGUGGGGUUGUCAGUGCCCAGGUCAAAAAACAACAAAAAACCAAAGCAAGGACGGUCAGAAACACAAAAUUAAUAUAAUAUUUCCUCCCUUAAGAAGAGUCCUGGAGAGGUUAACUGCUGGCACCCUUAUAACAGAAUGGCUAAGUAACACCUAUAAGAUCUGCUCCUUAAAUAUAAAUUAGUUAUAUAAAAAUAGCAUUAAGUAUGUGUUUUAUCAAGAUAUAUCUACAUUUUAUAGAUAUUAAUAAAUUAAAUAUGGGUAUAUAGCCUACAGAAGACAUUUUAUAUUCCACAACUUAAUUUCCACUUUACACCUGAUAUUUAGAAAGAAAAAAGACAAAAUGGCAAGCCCUUUUUCCUAAUUAGAUACAACCCUAAGCAUUGUUUUCAACAGCCAGCUCUGUUAUUUCACACCCAGACACUUGCUCUAACUGGGGGCAGGAAUAAAGCACAGAGCUGUCGAGCUUAAAUGUAUUCAGGAAUCUUAUUUUUUCUAAAAGUCGUAACGGGGAAAUGUAACCUGCCCUUUAGCUUCUAGUUCUGUAAAAUUGCUGUCAUAAUGCUGAAUAAUAGCAUUAAGUAGUCUCUGUGAGAUAGUGCAACAGUGAUCUUAGGCACUGGGAAUGUUACGGCUGUAGUUGACUUUCACACCCACGCUGCCAGACUUCCACAACAAGCAGUGUGGCCGUGAAUUAGCAUGAAAUUCAGAGUGGCUCUCACCCCUACAGCGUGAAGGAAUAAUUCACAGCUCUGAGCCUCUCCAGAUCCUGAGAGCAUCAGGCAGGAGCCCCUGCAGACCCAGCCUGGCAGACGGACGGCUGCGUGCACAGCUUGGGCUCACCAGACGGGCGCAUGCAGUGUGAGAAUGCAGCUCCAGUGCUAAGUGUCACUACUACACUGAUAUCAAGAGCAAAAUUGUUUUUUCUCAAGUCUUGGGGAAACACCAGCUCCCUAAUAUGCAUGCUUUCACCUGUAAUCAAUGCCUGUCAUGCAAAUAGCAGUUCUGCUCCUCAGUGAGGCUAAAGAUAUUAUUCUGGUGAAACAAAACCACGUAGGGCAGUGUCCAUUUGUGUUUGGCCUUGCCUCAGUGUCACCAUUUUAAUAGAUAACAACACCUUGCAGGGAAAUUCAGAGAAUUGGGCAAGAGCUCCAAGAUGAUCAAGGUCAACCAUCAACCUGACCUACCAUGAGAUGUCUGGAGGUGGCAGUAAGGGACACAUGAGCAGUCAGCCAGGAACAGAAGAUGACUUAAGGCAGGAGAACUCAUGACCCACCAGGAAUGCUACCUUAUUUCCAGCUGUGGAGUUGUGACCCCUCAGGAGCUGAACCAUUUAAGAAGUGCCCGGCUAUCACAGAAUCUGUCAUCCGAAUGCUGCUCUCUGUCUUCAGAAGAGCUCUUUCAUUCACAAAGAUACUAGCAGGGAGUUCAACUGCCAUCUCUCUGUCAUCUCUUGCAUGGCGGUUCUAUCUCUUCCAGUUAAUAAGGUUAAAACACAGUCUGACAGUAAAGUAACACUGAAUUAAAAGUGAGACUUCAGUUAUUGCUAUCCCAGACUUUCUGCUAAAUGCACCACCUUCUCCUCUAGACUUUACUUCAAGGGAAAGACUCGAAAUGUUUGGAGAAAUAGCAUCACUACACUCACACUGCACAUCCCUGUCCAAACCUUUUCAUCCAACAAAUGAAUGCAAAUACCCAUGAAAGAGGCCAUAAUAAUUUUGAUAAAGAAACAGAGAAUCGGCAGUAAAUGACGGUGAUGCACAGCACAGGAAGCGCUAAUAUAUUUUAUUAAAAAUAUUAUUGGCGUGCUACUUAGGGGUUAAAAGGUGUCUCUCAGUAGAUUUCAUAUUCUCUUACCACUCGCAGAUUCCCCUGAGCUCAAAACUUCCCAUAUCUCACUCAUUUCCACUCUCACUAGUUUUCCUGCCUGUUCAUUCUUCCUGCAAGAAGGUCCUCAGGGCUCCCCUUUCAAUAUGGCAGGUUUUCACAAAAACAGUAUUUGUGGCCUGUUCAUGUGACAAUCCAUGCAUUUCUGCAAAAAUAAGUGCCUCAAAACAGCAAUACCACAUCUGGAAGAUGUAGAAUACAUUUCUGUCAGUACAUCCCAUCUCCUCACUUCCCCAGGCUGCCUUUAGGGUCUUCUUAACCCUGCCCUCUUCAGCAGGCUCUCAGGUAAAUGAGACACUUGCAGGGAUGAUGUUACAGAAGCAAUAAAUUACGUUUUCCAUUAUUCUAAACAUAAAGAUGGAUGAAACUUUUAAAAUUCAAUGCAUGGAUUUGGAAUUAGUAACUAAGUUUAUGAUCAACUCUGAAUGGCCCGGCUCUCUUCAAAGUUUCAGUAAACUCCUGCCAGUUUUAAAUUCCCUAUGUGUAAAUAAAACAUACACUUUUCCCAUAGGUUUCAGCUGGGAGUGGGGAGUCCAUACCAUAAAGAUGCAUUUGAACUGAUUUUGCUCAUACAGGACUUGUUUGCUCUUCCGAAGAGCCAAAAAAUUGGUUCACUAGUUUUUUAACAACCUGAUGGUUCCUUUCCAAAUAUACAGAAAAGCAUUUGCUGCAGGAUGCCUUUGCUCAAUCCUACAGAGCAAAAAGAAUUACAAUGUACGAAGUUAAAAAUGGAGAUUAAAAAGAACAUAAGCAGAGCUCAAAUUAAAUGAGUCUCUUAUUUUUUUUAUUUUUAAUAAAGCAAGGUGGAAUACCGGAGCCAUGGCAGGUACUAUUGGGAGAUAAGAGAAUAAAGCCACUGCAACCAGAUCAUAAAGAAUAUGCAAAGAGGUAUCCGAGGUAAAAUAAUUUAAGUCUAUGAAUCUGGAAGGAUCGAUAGUACUGGAUAUGGACAGAAAAUGAAAACAGUGGCACCUUAUUUUUGUUGUUAAAUACAAAAUUCUCAUUUCCAGAUCAUUUCUUCCUACUGGAAAGAACACACAACACCAACUCAUAUUUCUGACUCAAAAAACAAACAAACAAACAAACAAAAAAACC